AUUGAACGCUGGCGGCAGGCCUAACACAUGCAAGUCGAACGAGUGGCGGACGGGUGAGUAAUGUCUGGGAAACUGCCCGCUGGAGGGGGAUAACUACUGGAAACGGUAGCUAAUACCGCAUACCAUCGGAUGUGCCCAGAUGGGGUAAGCUAGUAGGUGGGGUAAUGGCUCACCUCGGCGACUAUCCCUAGCUGGUCUGAGAGGAUGACCAGCCACACGGGAACGGAGACACGGGCCAGACUCCGAGGGGAGGCAGCAGGGGGGAAUAUUGCACAAUGGGAGCAAGCCGGAUGCAGACAGGCGGCGGGUAUGAAGAAGGCGUUCGGGUUGUAAAGUACGUUCAGCGAGGAGGCGUUACUCGCAGAAGAAGCACCGGCUAACUCCGUGCCAGCAGCCGCGGUAAUAC
rnacentral:rRNA from 1 species